AAAAACAAACAAAAACAAAGAAAAAUAAAGGGAAAAGCAGUGGGAGUGUAAUGGCCUAAGGGGAGUCUGAAAUUCUGGUAUCAGAUAUGAGAUGUCGAAGGUAACGUCACGACACUAAUAUCUGAACAAUACAAACAGGAUAAAAGAUAAAGAACAGUAAUGCAAGAGACACAAGCAAUUGUUAACCCAGUUCGGUGCAAACUCACCUACGUCUAGGGGCUACCAAGCCAGGACUGAACAAUACAAACAGGAUAAAAGAUAAAGAACAGUAAUGCAAGAGACACAAGCAAUUGUUAACCCAGUUCGGUGCAAACUCACCUACGUCUAGGGGCUACCAAGCCAGGAAGGAAAUCCACUAAAUAGAAUCA
rnacentral:lncRNA from 1 species